rnacentral:misc_RNA from 1 species
AACUCAAUAUCAAGCGGCAGGUUGCGCUUCCCCUUCAGAUCUGCCACCGCCGUCGAGUCGAGAGUCAACCCAGAGGUGGAGACUGUCGUCUUCAUCACAGUGGUGUUCUUUGCUACAAGCACGACGGCUGGGAACUGGCUGUUGCCGAUGCCGGUGCCGUCGGAGGUGACAGAGACAGUGGCGGGGUCGAAUAAGAAGACCAUCUUGCGGUUAGGGUUGCG